UUAAUAUUAAUCUUUUUAGAUGGAAAACUGUAAAUUUUCAUAAUCCAUAAAUAUUCAG
rnacentral:tRNA from 1 species